CCUACGGGAGGCAGCAGUGGGGAAUAUUGCACAAUGGGGGGAACCCUGAUGCAGCGACGCCGCGUGAGUGAAGAAGUAUUUCGGUAUGUAAAGCUCUAUCAGCAGGGAAGAAAAUGACGGUACCUGACUAAGAAGCCCCGGCUAACUACGUGCCAGCAGCCGCGGUAAUACGUAGGGGGCAAGCGUUAUCCGGAUUUACUGGGUGGAAAGGGAGCGCAGACGGCUGUGCAAGUCUGGAGUGAAAGGCGGGGGCCCAACCCCCGGACUGCUCUGGAAACUGUAAAGCGGGAGUGCAGGAGAGGUAAGCGGAAUUCCUAGUGUAGCGGUGGAAUGCGUAGAUAUUAGGAGGAACACCAGUGGCGAAGGCGGCUUACUGGACUGCAACUGACGUUGAGGCUCGAAAGCGUGGGGAGCAAACAGGAUUAGAUACCCGUGUAGUC
rnacentral:rRNA from 1 species